UACGGAGGAUCCGAGCGUUAUCCGGAUUUAUUGGGUUUAAAGGGUGCGCAGGCGGGAGAUUAAGUCGGCGGUGAAAUUUUGCAGCUCAACUGUAAAAGUGCCUUCGAAACUGGUUUCCUUGAGUGUAGAUGAAGUAGGCGGAAUUUGUGGUGUAGCGGUGAAAUGCAUAGAUAUCACGAGGAACUCCGAUUGCGCAGGCAGCUUACUAAACUAUUACUGACGCUCAGGCACGAAGGCGUGGGGAUCAAACAGGAUUAGAUACCCUGGUA
rnacentral:rRNA from 1 species